AUACGGAGGAUGCGAGCGUUAUCCGGAUUUAUUGGGUUUAAAGGGUGCGUAGGCGGUUUUUUAAGUCAGCGGUGAAACGCAAGGGCUCAACCCUUGACCUGCCGUUGAAACUGGAGGACUUGAAUGCGGAUGCUGUGGGAGGAAUGGGUGGUGUAGCGGUGAAAUGCAUAGAUAUCACACAGAACACCGAUUGCGAAGGCAUCUCACAAAUCCGUGAUUGACGCUGAGGCACGAAAGUGUGGGGAUCAAACAGGAUUAGAUACCCUGGUAGUCCACACUGUAAACGAUGAUGACUCGCUGUCGGCGAUAUACAGUCGGUGGCCAAGCGAAAGCGAUAAGUCAUCCACCUGGGGAGUACGACCGCAAGGUUGAAACUCAAAUGAAUUGACGGGG
rnacentral:rRNA from 1 species